rnacentral:rRNA from 1 species
UCGAGCGCGAAAGUCACUUCGGUGGCGAGUAGAGCGGCGAAAGGGUGAGUAAUGCUUGGGCAACUUACCCCUUGGACUGGGAUAGCCACUGGAAACGGUGGGUAAUACCAGAUGGUCUCGUGAGCACUGCGGUGCAUGCGAGUAAACGCGGGGGUCUUCGGACCUCGCGCCGAGGGAGAGGCCCGAGUCCUACCAGCUUGUUGGUGAGGUAAUGGCUCACCAAGGCGAAGACGGGUAGCCGGACUGAGAGGUUGGCCGGCCACACUGGCACUGAGACACUGGCCAGACUCCUACGGGAGGCUGCAGUCGAGAAUCUUCCGCAAUGGACGAAAGUCUGACGGAGCGACGCCGCGUGGAGGAAGAAGGCCUUCGGGUUGUAAACUCCUGUCAGAGCUUAUGAACCCCAGAUGGUUAAUACCCAUUUGGCUGACAAAGGGCUCAAAGGAAGCCACAGCUAACUUCGUGCCAGCAGCUGCGGUAAUACGAAGGUGGCGAGCGUUGUUCGGAUUCACUGGGCAUAAAGGGCGCGUAGGCGGCCUGGUAAGCGGUCUGUGAAAGCCUGGGGCUCAACCCCAGAACUGCAGACCGAACUGCCGGGCUAGAGAACGAGAGGGGAUUGUGGAACUCUAGGUGGAGCGGUGAAAUGCGUAGAUAUCUAGAGGAACACCGGUGGCGAAGGCGACAAUCUGGCUCGUUUCUGACGCUGAGGCGCGAAAGCGUGGGUAGCAAACAGGAUUA